rnacentral:sRNA from 1 species
CUUAAGGUUGCAGACCCGUCUUAUACUCACAAAACAGAUGUAGAAAGGGCAGACUCAGGGGCAAUGCUCCAUCAAUGAAACUUAAUCAUGACUUGGAGGGGCCUCUUCUAGCAGUAAGAGGCUAUUCACUCUCCAUGCCCCUUCAAUCCUUGGCCUCU